UACGUAGGGUGCGAGCGUUAAUCGGAAUUACUGGGCGUAAAGCGUGCGCAGGCGGCUCUGUAAGACAGAUGUGAAAUCCCCGGGCUCAACCUGGGAACUGCAUUUGUGACUGCAAGGCUAGAGUGCGUCAGAGGGAGGUGGAAUUCCGCGUGUAGCAGUGAAAUGCGUAGAGAUGCGGAGGAACACCGAUGGCGAAGGCAGCCUCCUGGGAUGACACUGACGCUCAUGCACGAAAGCGUGGGGAGCAAACAGG
rnacentral:rRNA from 1 species